GGACAGAUUCCAAUCUCGAGCUACAAACGCUGAUGAUUCUGAUAUCAUGAGCUCCUAGUGCUUUCCGAGAGUUCCCAGCGGUCGAUCAUGGGAACUCUCAUGAUAUCAGAAUUAUCAGCGUUUGGAGCUCGAGAUUGGAAUCUGUCC